GCUUGUGGUCUUUCUGAUCAGUUAUUCUGCAAUCAACAAUUCAGUACCUGUGCGUUCUUUGAUCUAUUCCAUGACUAACUAUUCCAUGGAGAAGACAGCCCAUAAAAGGGCAGAAAUGGCCAUACCAGGUGGAGGAGUGCUCGACCAGGCCCCUCAUCCCAGGAGGAGACAAGGACUGCCCUUGCUGGGCGUAGAGAUAUCCGUGUUCCGUAACUGAGAAAGUACCAUGAGCAUGUCCAUUAGCCUCAUGGUGAAACAGUUGGCUUUGCCAGAAGCCUUCUCCUUGGCCUCUGAGAUGAAAGUAUCAAAGCCUCAGAGGAAGCAUCGACAAGGCUACCUCCUGUAACCGCAC